CAACCCUGUGCCUCCACUCUUGAGUGGGAUCUCUGGGAGACAGUACUAAAUGUAUCUGAAGAUUUAGCCCCUUGAGGAAGCUGGAGUGUCUUCCAACUCCCAUCCCAUAUUGGCUGAGGAUUUCUCAAAACCCAGCACUCCCUGCCAGCCCCUUCUAUAUAAGGGCUGAGUUAAGCUCAGGCAGAGUCACAAAUGUUUGCAGGAGGACACUGUCAAAACGUACUGGAACUCUAACAGUAUGAUGGCUUCUAAUUGGGAUAUUCAGAUUGCUAUGAGAACAUGGAUUCAUGCUGCUGGGGAAAAUUCCAAGAAGGUUUCAGAAACUUGGUAACAUUUACCAUGGUAGAUGAUGUCAUGAAGUAGCUGCAAUUUCCACAGAGACAAAAAAAUAAUAAUAAUAAUGUGCAAGAAUGGCUAAGACUAGUGUCAGAGGAAUGCCUAUAUCUGAGGAGCGGCUUGAGAAAGAGUAGACAGACGUCAAGUUCAAUGUUAGUAAAGAUGUUAACAUCUUCAUUUUAUUGAUGAGAAAACCACGCUCAGAAAUGUGAAGUACUCCUUCAAGUCACACAUUGCAAAUGCUGGAAAGGAAGAAAUCCAGAGGGCACACCUGCUUGCGGAAAUGAAGAAAUAAGGCUCCUUCAAGCUUCUGCCUGCACCACCAAAGCCUGUGUCUCCGGUCCUAAGAGUGGCAAUAUGGUGGCCCCACUUCUAGGCAUCUCGUGUGGAUCCUGGAGAAAAAAAGAGAAUAAAGGCAAUGAGUGAAAGGUGCCUGCCAA